UACGUAGGGGGCAAGCGUUGUCCGGAUUUAUUGGGCGAAAGAGCGUGUAGGCGGCCAGAUAGGUCAGCUGUGAAAACUCGAGGCUCAACCUCGAGACGUCGGUUGAAACCAUCUGGCUAGAGUCCGGGAAGAGGAGAGUGGAAUUCCCGGUGUAGCGGUGAAAUGCGCAGAUAUCGGGAAGAACACCGGUGGCGAAGGCGGCCAAACUGGACCACAACUGACGGCUGAGGCGCGAAAGCGUGGGGAGCAAACAGG
rnacentral:rRNA from 1 species